GGUGCUGGCAAUGGGACAGGAGCCAAUCAGCGAUGAAGGUGCGGGCUGUCUGAACUACCCAAUCAGGUGGGCUGAGGGAGGAAGGCGGGCCCUUCCUGUAUCAUGGCGGCUAAGUGUACACCGUGAGAGGUUUGCUGAGAGUCCUCAGCUACCACAUUUUUCUGUAUUUUCUACUGGAUGUGAGCUGAAUUCAAAGGAUUCUGGGGGACCCACAAACCACGCAAUGAAUUUGCCAUUACCUGUUUGCUGGUCUCAAGUUUCUUCAGGCUCCUACCAUUAAGUCUUCAGCCUUCCAAUGGAGAGUCUUCA
rnacentral:lncRNA from 1 species